rnacentral:tRNA from 1 species
GGGGUUGUGGCUCAGCGGUAGAGCGCUCGCCUUGCAUGCACGAGGCCCUGGGUUCGAUCCUCAGCACCA